AUUGAACGCUGGCGGCGUGCUUAACACAUGCAAGUCGUGCGGUAACAGGCGUAGCAAUACGUGCUGACGAGCGGCGAACGGGUGCGUAAUACAUGGGAAUCUGCCCUUUAGUGGGGAAUAACCCGGCGAAAGCCGGGCUAAUGCCGCAUAAGAUCUUCGGAUGAAAGCGGGGGAUCGUAAGACCUCGCGCUGAUGGAUGAGCCCAUGUCGGAUUAGCUAGNGGUGAGGUAACGCUCACCAAGGCGACGAUCCGUAGCUGGUCUGAGAGGACGCCAGCCACACUGGGACUGAGACACGGCCCAGACUCC
rnacentral:rRNA from 1 species